rnacentral:rRNA from 1 species
GAUUGAGUUUGAUCCUGGCUCAGGACGAACGCUGGCGGCGUGCUUAACACAUGCAAGUCGAACGAUGAAGCCAGCUUGCUGGUGGAUUAGUGGCGAACGGGUGAGUAACACGUGGGUGAUCUGCCCCAAACUUUGGGAUAAGCCUGGGAAACUGGGUCUAAUACCGAAUAUGACCGAUACUCGCAUGGGUGUUGGUGGAAAGCUCCGGCGGUUUGGGAUGGGCCCGCGGCCUAUCAGCUUGUUGGUGGGGUAAUGGCCUACCAAGGCGACGACGGGUAGCCGGCCUGAGAGGGCGACCGGCCACACUGGGACUGAGACACGGCCCAGACUCCUACGGGAGGCAGCAGUGGGGAAUAUUGCACAAUGGGCGCAAGCCUGAUGCAGCGACGCCGCGUGAGGGAUGACGGCCUUCGGGUUGUAAACCUCUUUCACCAGGGACGAAGCGAAAGUGACGGUACCUGGAGAAGAAGCACCGGCCAACUACGUGCCAGCAGCCGCGGUAAAAU